rnacentral:rRNA from 1 species
AUGCAGCAGGCGAUGUCCUUGCCCCCGGGAGCGGUCGGCGCGGUGUCCUCGCCGGCCGGCAUCACCACCGAGCAGAUCCAAAAGUAUUUGGAUGAAAAUAAGCAACUUAUUUUGGCCAUCCUUGAAAAUCAGAACCUAGGAAAGUUGGCUGAAUGUGCUCAGUAUCAAGCUCAACUCCAAAAGAAUCUCUUGUAUCUAGCUGCUAUCGCGGAUGCCCAACCACCACAGAACCCUACAAGUCACCCUCAGAUGGUGCAGCCUGGUAGUAUGCAAGGUGCAGGGCAUUACAUGUCACAAGUACCAAUGUUCCCUCCAAGAACGCCUUUAACCCCACAGCAGAUGCAAGAGCAGCAGCACCAGCAGCUUCAGCAGCAGCAAGCCCAGGCCCUUUCUUUCCCCGCCCAGGUGGUCAUGAGACCAGGCACCGUCAACGGCAUGCAGCAGCCUAUGCAAGCAGCCGGCGACCUCCAGCCAGCAGCAGCACCUGGAGGGAGCAAGCAGGACGCCGCAGUGGCUGGGGCCAGCUCGGAACCAUCUGGCACCAAGAGCCACAAGAACGCGGGAGCAGAGGAGGUGGGCGCUGAUGUAGCAGAACAAUCCUAA